AGAGUUUGAUCCUGGCUCAGGAUGAACGCUAGCUACAGGCUUAACACAUGCAAGUCGAGGGGCAGCGGGAUUGAAGCUUGCUUCAAUUGCCGGCGACCGGCGCACGGGUGAGUAACGCGUAUCCAACCUUCCGCUUACUCGGGGAUAGCCUUUCGAAAGAAAGAUUAAUACCCGAUUGUAUCUUAAGCACGCAUGAGAUUAAGAUUAAAGAUUUAUCGGUAAGCGAUGGGGAUGCGUUCCAUUAGGCAGUUGGCGGGGUAACGGCCCACCAAACCUACGAUGGAUAGGGGUUCUGAGAGGAAGGUCCCCCACAUUGGAACUGAGACACGGUCCAAACUCCUACGGGAGGCAGCAGUGAGGAAUAUUGGUCAAUGGGCGAGAGCCUGAACCAGCCAAGUAGCGUGAAGGAUGACGGCCCUACGGGUUGUAAACUUCUUUUGUGCGGGAAUAAAGGAGCCUACGUGUAGGCUUUUGCAUGUACCGUAACGAAUAAGCAUCGGCUAACUCCGUGCCAGCAGCCGCGGUAAUACGGAGGAUGCGAGCGUUAUCCGGAUUUAUUGGGUUUAAAGGGAGCGUAGACGGGUUUUUAAGUCAGCUGUGAAAGUUUGGGGCUCAACCUUAAAAUUGCAGUUGAAACUGGAGACCUUGAGUACGGUUGAGGCAGGCGGAAUUCGUGGUGUAGCGGUGAAAUGCUUAGAUAUCACGAAGAACCCCGAUUGCGAAGGCAGCCUGCUAAGCCGCCACUGACGUUGAGGCUCGAAAGUGCGGGUAUCAAACAGGAUUAGAUACCCUGGUAGUCCGCACGGUAAACGAUGGAUACUCGCUGUUGGCGAUAGACGGUCAGCGGCCAAGCGAAAGCGUUAAGUAUCCCACCUGGGGAGUACGCCGGCAACGGUGAAACUCAAAGGAAUUGACGGGGGCCCGCACAAGCGGAGGAACAUGUGGUUUAAUUCGAUGAUACGCGAGGAACCUUACCCGGGCUUGAACUGCAGUGGAAUUAUCCGGAAACGGAUAAGCGAGCAAUCGCCGCUGUGGAGGUGCUGCAUGGUUGUCGUCAGCUCGUGCCGUGAGGUGUCGGCUUAAGUGCCAUAACGAGCGCAACCCUUGCUGCCAGUUACUAACAGGUCAUGCUGAGGACUCUGGCAGGACUGCCAUCGUAAGAUGCGAGGAAGGUGGGGAUGACGUCAAAUCAGCACGGCCCUUACGUCCGGGGCUACACA
rnacentral:rRNA from 1 species